rnacentral:tRNA from 1 species
GGCUCCAUAGCUCAGUGGUUAGAGCACUGGUCUUGUAAACCAGGAGUUGUUUGAUUCUCACUGGGGUCU